UACGAAGGGCGCUAGCGUUGCUCGGAAUCACUGGGCGUAAAGGGUGCGUAGGCGGGUCUUUAAGUCAGGGGUGAAAUCCUGGAGCUCAACUCCAGAACUGCCUUUGAUACUGAAGAUCUUGAGUUCGGGAGAGGUGAGUGGAACUGCGAGUGUAGAGGUGAAAUUCGUAGAUAUUCGCAAGAACACCAGUGGCGAAGGCGGCUCACUGGCCCGAUACUGACGCUGAGGCACGAAAGCGUGGGGAGCAAACAGG
rnacentral:rRNA from 1 species